ACACAUUCCAAUUUAAUUGCUUUCUUAUACAAACAUUUCGGUUGAUAAAAGUAAAAUAGCUUGAAAUCUUUUGAUCUGAACUUCUUCGUGACAUGAACUUUCCCCUUAAAAAUUUAAUUGUCGCGUUGGAGUAGUCGAAUAUUUUUUCUCCUACUUUCAUAACUUUAAUAAUAGCCAUCUUUUCCUCAACAAUCAAAUGGUAAUGUUUAUUCACGGAAACACAAUGGAGACAGUGUUUCUGACUAGUUUUAUGUAUGCAAAUGAAGCAUAAAAUUCCAUUAUCGCAAUGAAGAGGAGGUAAAACCCUGAAUUCAAUUUGCGUGCCAAAGCUGGAGAGAAAAUUAAAUGCCGGAGCAAAAAAAAAUAAAACCACUAGAGAAAUUGCAUCAAAUCAGAUUUCUGAAAAGUUGGCAGGGAAAUAAAUUGAAAGGUGCAUUGCAACAAGUUGAUUAGGUCAUAGCACUGUUUGAUUCGAAUGUUGUCCGUUUAUGUUUAAUCCAUUAGCCGGAUAAACCAAUUGGACUAACAAACCGCGACAUUUGUGGCGUAAAAUCAAGUUGGCGCCAAUUAGCUAGUCGCGUAGUUUCGGCCGCUAAAUGAGCUAAAUGAGAAUUAAAACGCGAAAUUCGCAACAAUUUGCAGUUACCACAUAACCGGAAACCGGAUUGCAAAUUCCGGAAACUGGACCAUUGCACACAGCCGCAAAAGCAGCCCCCAAUAACGGAGAUAAAACCAUUUUGCGGCUUGCUGAUUUCUGCCAACUGCAAUUGCCCGACGACAGCUCCCGCAGAAACUUUUAAUUUAAUUCUGAUAAUUGCGCGCGAAUGGCUCUCAGAAAUUAGAGGGGCACCCCCAAGCCCUUCAUUGGGCCAAAUGGAGGCAGUCUGGCAGUCGGGCCUGAACUUUAACAUUCGAAACUAUCACGGCAAGCUGGCUUUAGCCCUAGGCGCUGAAAAUCCCUUGUGCGAAUACAAUUACGUAGUUGAAAAUCAAAUGCAAAUGACAGGCCUAAGCCUCUCGAUGUGUUCGCUGGCUUUCUUCGAACGCCGAGAUCUGAGCAUAAGCUCAAGUGAUAUCUGGAGAGGUGCUGUCAGGAAGAUGUCCUUGGAGCUCUAGCUGGGGUGUUUUGAAAACCUGAUUUAUUGUGCGAAUUACUUGAAGUAAUUAAAAUUUAAUUAAUGGCCCGCCUGGAUGAUAAUGUUAAGUAGUUGGGCCAUUAGCUGAGACCCUGCUUUUUCACUUCGUCCACCGUUUACGAGCGAAUGUUCACGUAGCUUUACGAACAUCUGCCGGAGACACAUAAAAGUGUCCCCCAACUUGGGGAUACAUCGCGGCACAUAUAUAUUCAUCCGAUUUAUUGCCGCUCAUUUGGACAACGGUAUGUAACUGCAGUAGCAGCUACGCAAACAGACAAACAAGAUAAUCAAUGUCGGACGCACACACAUCAUCGUGUCAGAGUUGAUUGCAACAUUCAUGUGGACAUGGGUGUGGGUGAGGCUGAGGGAGUUCCUCGGGCUGUGGGUGUGGCAGGAUGGGCUCAAAUUCGCCAUUCCGCUUGCUGUCGGCGAAAUGUGCAACUGACAGCUGCUGAGCAGCUGCUGCAACAACUCAGCUACAGCUAUGGCCACACAACUAGGACGUGCCUACGACUACUGUCAAAUGUUCUUUUGCAAGGAGCAUAUGUAUGUAUACGUGCCGCAUACUCCUACUACAACUUCUACUUCUUGAUGAGGCGCAGAGGGGCGUGGCAGGACGUGCGUGCCACU